UACGUAGGGGGCAAGCGUUGUCCGGAUUUAUUGGGCGUAAAGAGCGUGUAGGCGGCCUGACAGGUCUGCUGUGAAAACUCGAGGCUCAACCUCGAGAUGUCGGCGGAAACCGUCUGGCUAGAGUCCGGAAGAGGAGAGUGGAAUUCCCAGUGUAGAGGUGAAAUUCGUAGAUAUUGGGAAGAACACCGAUGGCGAAGGCAGCCAUCUGGACCGACACUGACGCUGAGGCGCGAAAGCGUGGGGAGCAAACAGG
rnacentral:rRNA from 1 species